rnacentral:lncRNA from 1 species
ACGGGGGUGGAAGAAGGUGAGAGGGGGAGGAAAGAGAGACAGAGAGGGAGACAGAGAAAAGAGGCAGAGAGUCCAAGAGAGAGGCUGAACAGCAAGACCCCAGAGCCUCCGGUGUCAAAGAGACAGCAGAGGCCGGGCGUGGUGGCCAUGCCUAUAAUCCCAGCGCUUUGCCAGGCCAAGGCAGGCGGAUCACUUGAGGUCA